AUGAAGGUGCGGAUCUCGUUCCCCUUAGCUCUUGCAGAUUGUGGUUGUGGGGAUCCUGGGGGUGUUAUCUCCGUCCCCGAGCGCCGGGCCGGAGGCGUCGUUGCUGUCCCCAAGCGAGCACGCCGCGCAUCGUCUUCAACCUCGAUAGCCACAACCCCACUUCAGCAUCGCAUUGUUCCACCUGCAGGUCCCCCCUCUCCGUUUUCCUUUUUCUGUCUUUGUACGACUGAACCAAUGUACUUUAAGGUAUUUCUUAACAGUGACAAAUGGUAUAUAUUGGCUGCUAUUGAAAUGAGAUAUUAG
rnacentral:rRNA from 1 species